rnacentral:rRNA from 1 species
UGGGGAAUAUUGGACAAUGGGCGCAAAGCCUGAUCCAGCCAUGCCGCGUGAGUGAUGAAGGCCCUAGGGUUGUAAAGCUCUUUCGCCAGGGACGAUAAUGACGGUACCUGGAUAAGAAGCCCCGGCUAACUUCGUGCCAGCAGCCGCGGUAAUACGAAGGGGGCUAGCGUUGUUCGGAAUCACUGGGCGUAAAGCGCACGUAGGCGGAUCUUUAAGUCAGGGUGAAAUCCCGAGGCUCAACCUCGGAACUGCCUUUGAUACUGGAGGUCUCGAGUUCGGGAGAGGUGAGUGGAACUGCGAGUGUAGAGGUGAAAUUCGUAGAUAUUCGCAAGAACACCAGUGGCGAAGGCGGCUCACUGGCCCGAUACUGACGCUGAGGUGCGAAAGCGUGGGGAGCAAAACAGGAUUAGAUACCCUGGUAGUCCACGCCGUAAACGAUGGAUGCUAGCCGUUGGGGAGCUUGCUCUUCAGUGGCGCAGCUAACGCUUUAAGCAUCCCGCCUGGGGAGUACGGUCGCAAGAUUAAAACUCAAAUGAAUUGACGGGGUCAUAGCUGUUUCCUG